AAAGAACAGUGAAUAUAAGUGUUUUACUGUGACAGUGAAGGUGGAGUUUGGAGUCUAGAGGUUGUUGAGGACGAUGUUGGCGAGAUUCAAACCUUCACAUGUGGUGUCAUCAUCAGAGAUCUUGGAAGAAAAAGACCAAGAGAACCCUGAGGUGGCAGAGAACCCAACGCUCACCCACUCCGGAAGAAGGCUCUCGAGCUCCACUCUCUGAGAGACGAUGUAGUUCGUUGGCUGAGAAGGGUAAACCAGAGAAGCCACCAAGAGCUUCGUGGAGGACUCAUAGGUGAUCUGAACCUCCGCGUUUUCUCCGUUGACCAAUUCCCACGGCGUCGUUUUCAUAGACUCGAUGGAGUUCACGUCGAUGCCAAUAUGACGGCCUUCGGGGUCCCACUCCUGGUUGACGAAGGUGUCGAACUCCACAGCCACAGUAUGGGCUUUGCUGUUGUAUUUGUCGCUGUCGAAAAGACCUAGAAAACCGCCUUGCUUUGUUGGGAACGAGAGCAAAGCCAAGGCCAUCGGCGGCUUUUGCUUUGUUGGGAGCGUGGAUAUUGAAUUUGAAGUUUGUGGUGAAGCUGGCGACUUUUCCGGUGGCGCUGUCUUAGAUUUGGAUGGGGGCGGAGUAGAAGGCGCGGCCCAGAGAGGCCACCGUGGGUUCUCCGUUGCUAUUAACAUUGGUUAGUCGUAACUGGCCGGAGGAUGAGACGGAGGCAUCGCCUUGGAGGAUAAGGUUGGUUUCGUUGAACCUAUCGAAGCUGAAGGAGGUUUCGCUGGCUGAGUUUGCGUGGCUGAGAAGCACAAGGAAGAGGCUAGGUUGAGUAAGUUGGAGGAAGCCAUGUAUGCAUUCAUGCAUUAACCAUCACUCUCUUCUCUAUUUAUACAACAACAAAUGCAAAAUCUUUCCAACUUUUUUAUUUCAUUCUAUUAUUAAAUACGUGUUUUCGAAUGAUUAACUUUUUUCUUUUAUAAUAUUAUUUGAGAGAGAAAUAAGAAUAUUAAAAUAAGAAUUAAGCAACGAUUGAUUUUACAACGAUUCAACGUUUUGCUACGAUUCUUAAUUACAAUGUGUCGAUAACUCUUUUUAAGUAUUUGGGUAUGCUGGUAGGGGGUGUCAUUGGAGAGGUGCUUUUUGAGCGGACAAAAAUUCCAAAAAUCCACCAUUUAUUAUUAAUCUUUUUUAUUAUUUAGGUAUUUUUCAGGUAUUUUAAGGUUUUAGUUCUCACAGUUACCCUAAUUAGAAAAUUCUAAUUUUUUUUUCAUGAUUUUUUAGUUAUAAAUUAGUGAUAUAUCAAAACCCUAUAAAUUAGUGAUAAUUCAUAUUUUUCGUGAAGGGAAUGCGUGUGCUAAUAAGUUGGCUAAUUUAGGAUUUAUUCAUAGAGAAUCAUUUCAUUGGUAUAAUAGACUCCCAGCUAGUCUGUUCUUAGAAUUCUUUAUGAAUAGGUAUAAUCUACCUAUUUAUCGUUUUUGUUAACAUAUGGGUUUUGGUCUAGUCCCGUCAUAUUUUUGUAUUUUCUUUCUUUUUUCUUUUUUUUUAAUAAUAUUUUUUUUAUGUGAUGACAAAUGAUUGUUGUUACUUGAGGUGUCAGCUUAGCUGAGAUGUCAAGUUGCAUAGUGAUGCCUAACACGAAAACUUUAUAUAAAAAAAAACCCUAUGGACAUAUAUAUGUCAGAUUUGUUAGAAUUUGCAUAUGGAGAUCAUUGUAAGAGCAUGACUGGAAGCAAAUAAUAAUAUUUAACUUAUUCUUUAUAAUUUUUUAACACUAAUUAAUGUGAAUCCUUUUUCCCGCCAUAGAAUAUGUGAGAAAUGGGCCACGUAUUUCCUUAAUUUCUAUAACUCUAAGAUAAAUAAUCAAUAAUAUAGGAAUUAGAUAGAUAGAUAGGAAUAUAUAUGUUAUUAGUGUUUGUAAUACAUCUUUAUCAAUGUAUAUAAUUUGAUUAUCUGAAUAUAUGUAUCAGGGCUAACUUAGUUUUAAUUGUACAAGUCAAUUUAGAUAGGAUUAACAUUAAACAGAAUGAACUAAACAAAAAAUUCUCAUUUAAAAUGGCGGCUUUUACCAUAACUGCCAUUUUAUAUCUUUCAAGAAGGUAUAAAUGACGACUUUUUAUCAUAACCGUCAUUUUAUAUCUUUAAGGAGGAUCUAAAACGGUGACUUUUUACCAUAACUGUUGUUUUAUAUCUUUUAAAAAGGUCUAAAACGACGACUUUUACCAUAAUUGCUGUUUUAGACUGAAUAUAACACAACGAUUAUAUAAUCUCUGUCUUUGCUUGAAAAGAAUAGACUAUAUGUUGAAAGACAACGCUACAAGAACCGUUGUUUUAAUACUAAAAUGAUCGUCGUGAUUUAAUUUUUUUCAUCAGUAAUUGUAAAGUUUCUUUUUAGAGUGUUGAUAAACAUAUAUCGAUUUGAAAUGAAUAGAGUUAGAAAGUAAAAAAAAAAUACAAGAAAAAUGUUAAAUAAUGUCAUAGAAAUAGAAAUGGAAGAGAAGUGUAAAGAAAUUUAAAUAAAAAUUAGAUGUGAGAGUAAGUUAGUUUAUAAAUUGAUUUGUUUAAUGAUUUAAUAACUGUAAAAAUCAAAUAAAAGUAAAUUAUAGUAAUAUGUACUAAGAUUUAAUGUAAUUACACCCAUGUUUCCUUUUUUUUUCUCUGUUAUACUUUAACUUAUAAUAAUCCUUUCCAUUAUUAUAAACUUUUUUAAAAUUACAUAUUUUUCAAAUUAUGCACUAAUAAUAUAAUAAUACACAUGCUGAAUAAUACGCAGUGUAAAUAUAUGAGCUCCUAUUUUAUUUAUGCUCCCAUUUGUGACAGAUGAAGAUUAUUAGCAGGAAAGAAGAGUGAGAGUGAGUAUAAGCAGGGUUUUACUGUCACAGUGAAGGUGGUUUUUGGAAUCUAGAGGAUCUUGUUGAGGAGGAUGUUGGCGAGAUUCGAAUCUUCAGAUGUGGUGUGACAGGAGAACUUGGAAGAAAAAGACCAAGAGAGCAGGUCGUGCGUUUCACUGGACACGUUAGAUGACCCUGAGGUGGAAGAGAACCCAACGCUCACAUUUAAUAAUAAUAUUAUGUGAUACCUCACAAUUAUUUAUCUUAUUAAUUGAUCAAUUACCAUAAUUAUCCUAUUAUAUUAUUGGUAAUUACUAUUAUCAUAAAUAAUUAGGGUUUCUUCUUGGGUGUAUUAUAAAUAGAGAUUACCAGACAACUAAAGAGACACUCUUAUAUUCUAACAUCACACGGUCGAAACUCAUUCCCUAAAGGGAUUUUCGAGCCUCUCAUCUCUUUGUCUCUCUGCUCACAUAAUUCCAUUUUAAGCGAUACACUCUAAAGGGAAACCCGAUCAAGAUCAUGUCUUCGUCCCUCAGCCAUGCGAUCACGGGUUUACCAAGUAUUAUCUAAUCAUUAUUCUCGUUUCAUUAUAUGAUUGAGGAAUCCUAAUCCAACAUGUGGUAUCAGAGUCAGGUUUAUGUUGUUUAAUCGAUUCUUCUUUUGUUUUCCCUAAAUUUGGAAGAAACGAGGAUUUUGAUUCAACCUAUUGAUUUUCGAUGUUUUUAUUUUGGUAUAUUAUUGAACCACUUAUUUUCGAAAAUCCACCUUGAUAUCAUAAAAUAAAUUUUAAUUUUUUCGAGAUCCAUAAUUAUUUUAAGAUUUUGAAAAUUAAAAUUUAAUAUUAAUGUUAUGUGUUCUUCAUAAUUUUCGUGAGUAUUCCCUUAUUUGGAAUGGAAUUAAUUUUGAUUAUAUGUUCAUCAUCAUUAUUUGUUGUUCGUAUGAAUUUUUGAAAAUUAUGAAUAAAGAAUUUUCAAAAAUUAAUUAUUCCCUUAAUUAGGAAAUUUUGAAAAUAAUAUUUUUCCUUAAUUCAAAUUUUCGAAAUACAAUUGAUUCCCUUAAUUAGGAAUGGAUUUGAUUUGAUUUGAUUGUGUUUUUCUAAAAAAAUAAAUAAAAAUUGAUAUCUUAGUCUCCACGUUUUUCCUUAUUUAGGAUAGUAUAUUCUUGCCUUAUUAAUUUUCGGGUAUUAUUAUUAUUAUUACUAUUUUCGAAAAUAGCAGUCGUGUCAAACUUGGAAACAUAUCAAUCUAAUUAAAAUUUUGAAGACCAAAUCUAAAAUCAAAUCCUUAAUAUUCCGCUACUCACUUAUCGAGUUUACGAGUAACAUAUUUACGCGUUUCCUUUUAUUUAUCGAAUUAAAUAUGGUAAAUCUCAUGAUACCGUAAUUAUGUUUUAAAAAAAAUACUUAUUUUGUUAAACUCUUAAAACAAAAAUAUUAAGUUUGACAAAAUUAAAAUUAAAUUUUUUGCUUAAACUUAAUAACAGGAGUCUCCCUUCUGUCCAACGAUGAUGGGUUAUGUCUUGUUAUUUUAGUCUAAUUAAGCACCUUCACUUACUUGUGAGUACACUUAAUUAUUAAAUAUUCGCAUGACAUUUGCCUAAAAACACAAUUAUUUCUUAUUUCUAUUCUGUCCAACGAUGUUUGAUGCACUUGUGUUUUGCAAACUUAAUAUGUGCAUAAGCUUAAAUGUUCAAUUCUGUCCAAAGAUGAUGUGUCACAUUCUUAUUGCACAUACCUUACUUAUAAUUGUUCAUUAUUCUUAAAUAAUUGGUAAUUAACCAAAGUGAAAGCUGAUUGUUUAAGUAGAACCUAAUCUAGUCUAUUAUUUUGAUGUUAUAAUAGAUUUUAUCACAGCUUCAUUAUCAUAAUGGUUCUUACUUAUGCCUGCUUUAGAUCUAAGUUUCCAAAUGUCACUCUAACUUUUUCCUUAGCCUAAGUAUCUUAAUUCGUCGUCUAACCAGCCCCUAAUAUGGAAAUUGAGACCUUGACUGGUGAAAAUCAUUCUUCUUGGAAAGAUUCCUUGAUGCUNNNNNNNNNNNNNNNNNNNNNNNNNNNNNNNNNNNNNNNNNNNNNNNNNNNNNNNNNNNNNNNNNNNNNNNNNNNNNNNNNNNNNNNNNNNNNNNNNNNNNNNNNNNNNNNNNNNNNNNNNNNNNNNNNNNNNNNNNNNNNNNNNNNNNNNNCAAUCAUUAGAGGAGGCAUUCCUGAUUCACCUAACGCUAAGGCUUAUCUAGCUUCUGUGGAGGAACAAUUUCAAGGAACCUCUAAGGCUCAUGCUAGUACUCUUAUCUUGAAGUUGGUGACUACAAAAUAUGACGGGCGCACCGGCAUUCGUGAACACAUCCUGAUGAUGAGCGACAUGGCCCGUAAACUUAAGGGAUUAGCCAUGGAGAUCAGUGAAGGUUUCCUAGUCCACUUCAUUAUGACUUCUCUUCCUUCUGCGUUUGAAGCCUUCAAAGUCAACUAUAAUACUCAGAAGGACAAAUGGUCCAUGAGUGAGUUGAUUGCUAUGACUGUUCAAGAAGAAGAGCGCCUGAAGUUGGAGAAACCAGAUGUUGCUUACCUCGUGGCUGCUGAGUCGAAGAAGCGGAAGGGCAAAUUCCAUAAAAAGGAAUCUAAUAAGGUCCCUAAAACUGAUGCAAGUGCACCCUCCAGCUCUAACAAAUUCACUAGCAAGUUCUACUGCAAGUUCUGCCGCAAGGUAGGACAUAAGCAGUCUGAGUGCUCAAGCUUUAAGGAGUGGUUGGCUAAGAAAGGUAAUCAUCUAAAUAUGAUAAUUGAGUCCUUUAAUUUAAAUGUUCCAACUAAUACUUGGUGGUUUGACUCUGGUUCUAUGGUUCAUGUGACCAAUUCAAUCCAGGGAUUCCUUACAAUCCAGAAGCUGGAAAGAAACCAAAGAACACUUAAGAUGGGGAAUGGACAAGAACUAUUUGUCGAAGCUGUCGGAAUCUUAGAAUUACUUAUGAAAACUGGAAAAUGUAUUAAACUUUAUGAUACCUUAUAUAUUCCCGAAAUUACUCAGAAUCUUGUAUUAGGACCAAAGUUAGACAUUGAUGGUUUUUAUGUUUCCCAUGGUCAUGGCAAACUUACUAUUUCUUUAAAUUCUCAAUUGUUUGGUACUGGUUUUCUGGAUAACGGUCUCUAUAAGUUAGAACUAGAUGAUAACUUCUCCAAAUCUUUGUUAUCAUAUAAUAUUAAUGAGAACUUAACAAAGACCAAGAGAAAACGAGACUUAGAAACUUCAUCCAUGUUGUGGCAUCAACGUUUAGGCCACAUUUCACGAGAUCGCUUAUCUCGACUUGUGAAGGAUGAAGUCUUACCAUCUCUCAAUUUCACUGAUUUUGGAACAUGUGUCAAAUGCCUCAAAGGCAAAAUGACAUCCACGACUAAGAAAGGCAAAAUGACAUCCACGACUAAGAAAAAAAAAUACAAGAAAAAUAUUAAAUAAUGUCAUAGAAAUAGAAAUGGAAGAGAAGUGUAAAGAAAUUUAAAUAAAAAUUAGAUGAGAGAGUAAGUUAGUUUAUAUUGAUUUCUUUAGUGAUUUAAUAACUGUAAAUAAGAAAGAGUAAAUUAUAGUAAUAUUUACUAAGAUUCAAUGAAGUUACACCAAUGUUUCCUUUUUUUAAUAUGUUAUACUUUAAUUUAUAAUAAUCCUGUCCAUUACUAUAAAAAUUUUAAAAAUUACAUAUUUUUCAAAUUAUGCACUAAUAACACGCAUAUAUGGUCAAACAGAAUAAACUAAAGCAAAAAAUUCUCAUUUAAAAUAGCGGCUUUUAUCAUAACGGUCGUUCUAUAUCUUUGAAGAUGGUAUAAAAUGAUGAGUUUUUAGCAUAACUGCCAUUUUAUAUCUUUCAGGAGGAUUUAAAACAACGAUUUUUUAGCAUAAUUGUCGUUUUAUAUCUUUAAAAAAUGCCUAAAAUGAAGACUUUUACCAUAAUCGUUAUUUUAGACUGAAUAUAACACGACGAUUAUAUAACCGUUGUCUUUACUUAAAGAGAAUGGACUUCAUGCUGAAAGACAGCGGUAUAAGAAUCGCUCAUUCAUGCUGAAAGACAGCGGUAUAAGAAUUGCUCAUUUAGUGCUGAAAUGACCGUUGUCAUUUAGCUUUUUUGCACCAAUAAUUAUAAAGUUUAUUUUUAGAGUGGUGGUGAUAAACAUAUAUCGAUGUGAGAAUAAGUUAGUUUAUAUUGAUUUGUAUAGUGAUUUAAUAACUGUAAAAGUCGAAUAAGAAAGAGUAAAUUAAAGUAAUAUUUUCUUAUGUUUAAUGUAAUUUAAACCAAUGUUUUUUUUUUCUAUGUUAUACUUUAACUUAUACUAAUCCUUUCCAUUAUUAUAAACUUUUUAAAAAUUACAUAUUUUUUAUUUUUCAAAUUAUGCACUAACAAUACGAAUAUGCAUGGUCAAUAAUACGCAGUGUAAAUUGUGUAAAUAUAUGAGCUCCCAUUUUAUUUAUUUAUUUUAGUUUGUGUGACAAAUGAACAUUAUUAGUAGCAAAGAAGAGUGAAGAGUGACUAUAAGUAGCGUUACCAUGAGACUAUGUUACUAUAUGAGACUAUGAGGUAAUAUGGCCUGAAAAAUGUUGAAGGAACUUGUCAAAGACUCAUAGACAAAGUCUUCAAGGGGAUUGGCCGGAACAUAAGGGAAAUGGUCGGAACGAUUUACGUGGACGACAAACUCAUGUGCCCAACACAUAAAGAUUUGAAAGAACUCUUUGAAGCUAUUAGGCUAUGAUGUUCAGACACUUCUCUUAAAUGAUGUGUCGGUGGUAGAUACUCAUAUCGGACACCGACAUUCGUAUGACACUUGUAGGACACGUAUUCGUGAAAUGUCCAAUUCAAAAAGUAUUUGUUGGAUUUUUGACAAUUUUAAUACAAUUCUAACAGAAUUUUAAAAAGGAAAAAUACAUUAAUUUUCUAAAAACUCAAACUUAUUGUAUAAAUUUUUAUUAUGAUUAUAAAAAUAAGAAACAAAUCAUUUUGAAGUAGUCAUGAAAAACAUUUUUUUCUCUUUUCUCCAAAAAACAAUCUGUAACAUACUUGUGUACAUAAAUCUUUAUUAUCAAUUUAUAUAAUUUAUAAUUAUAUAAUAUAUAGAUUCGUGUUUUCAUAUCCUACAUUUUAAAUAUUUAUUUUAAAUAUUUUCCGUAUCUUUACGUUUGUGUCCUUGUUUUAUCGGUGUCCGUGUUAUACAGCUCUUAAGUGAAUGAACAUGCGGCUAAAUCCUGAAAAGUUUGCGUUCAGGAAUAUAAGUUAUUGGGUUUAGGGUUUAAUCUCGAGAAAUGUAGGGCGAUAGAGAUAACAAGAUGAUCAAAAAUACAAAAAAAAGAAGAAGAGUAAAAUAGAGUAAACUCCAUUAUGUUAUUAUUUUGGAAAACUUUUCUUCAACAGUCCAAAGUUUGGAGUAAAAAACAAGCAUUUGACAGCUCCUUUUAAUAAUAUAAUAAUAUAUGAGCUCCCAUUUUAUUUUCUGUGACAGAGAAACAUUAUUAGCAGGAAAGAACACUGAGUGAAAGCAGUGUUUUAGUGUCACAGGGAAGGUGGAGUUUGGAGUCUAGAGGAUUUGGUUGAGGACCAAGUUGGCGAGAUUCAAAGCUUCAGAUGUGGUGCCAUCGGAGAGCUUGGAAGCAAAAGACCAAGAGAGGACGUCGUUCGUUUCAACGUUCCCUUUAGUAAUCCCAGUGGUGGCAGAGAACCCAACGCUCACCCACUCGGGAAGAACGCUCUUCAGGUCCACUGUGUCAGAGACGGUGAAGCUUGUUUUCAGAGAAGGGUAAACCAGAGAAGCCACCAAGAGCUUCGUGGAGGACUCAUAG
rnacentral:lncRNA from 1 species